rnacentral:rRNA from 1 species
AUUGAACGCUGGCGGCAGGCCUAACACAUGCAAGUCGAACGAGUGGCGGACGGGUGAGUAAUGUCUGGGAAACUGCCUGAUGGAGGGGGAUAACUACUGGAAACGGUAGCUAAUACCGCAUACCACCAGUUGUGCCGAGAUGGGAUUAGCUGGUUGGUGGGGUAACGGCUCACCAAGGCGACGAUCCCUAGCUGGUCUGAGAGGAUGACCAGCCACACUGGAACUGAGACACGGUCCAGACUCCUACGGGAGGCAGCAGUGGGGAAUAUUGCACAAUGGGCGGAAACCUGAUGCGGCCAAGCCGGGUGUAUGAAGGAGGCCUUCGGGUUGUAAAAUACUUUCAGCGGGGAAGCGUUACCCGAAGAAGAAGCACCGGCUAACUCCGUUCCAGCAACCGCGGUAAUAC